CCUACGGGAGGCUGCAGUGGGGAAUUUUGCGCAAUGCUCGUAAGAGUGACGCAGCGACGCCGCGUGAAUGACGAAGGCCUUCGGGUCGUAAAGUUCUUUCGACAGGGAAGAAAAUGCCUAUAAGUAACUGUGUAUGUAUUGACGGUACCUGUAUAAGCAGCCCCGGCUAACUCCGUGCCAGCAGCCGCGGUAAUACGGAGGGGGCGGGCGUUGUUCGGAGUGAUUGGGCGUAAAGAGCACGUAGGCGGUGUUGUAAGUCAUUAGUCAAAGACUAGAGCUCAACUUUAGUAAGGCUAGUGAUACUAAAAUACGAGAGUAUCAGAGAGGAUUGCAGAAUUCCUGGUGUAGCGGUGAAAUGCGUAGAUAUCAGGAGGAAUACCGUUAGUGAAGGCGGCAAUCUGGCUGGAAACUGACGCUGAGGUGCGAAAGCGUGGGUAGCAAACAGGAUUAGAUACCCCUGUAGUC
rnacentral:rRNA from 1 species